rnacentral:tRNA from 1 species
GCGCCUGUAGCUCAGAUGGAUAGAGCGACGGAUUCCGGAUCCGUAGGCCGGGGGUUCGAAUCCCUCCAGGCGUACCA